AUAUGGAACUUUCUGGCAUGCCUACAUUACAUUAUAAAAAAUAAUAUGUGAUAAGAACCAAGAAUGGUAUAGACAUAAUAACUACUACAGGAAUGAAGAGACACCAAGGAAGAAAGUCAAAAGACGGAAAAGUUUUACUGAGGAGGUGUGAUAAAGGAAAGGGAUCCUGGAGCUAGCAUGGCCUCAUCCUCUCCUUCCAGGCCCACAUCCAGAGGCAGAAAACCUGUGCCACCACCAAUAGUGUCAUCUGAAGAGGUUGCCAAUGUGUCUAUUCCCAGGCAAGAUGCACCUAUAGAGCUUUCCCAAGAACCCCUCUCCUUUGCUCUGUCCCCAUCAAGUCUACAGGUUAAAGUGCACAGACAGAGAUCAGGUGAGACUAUGAUUGACCCUACGGAGAUGUGGCUGUGCCUGCGGGGAAGGAUUGAUCACGCUGAGCUACGGGUGGGUAGAAACAAUAAAAUGAGGCAGGGUAUAAAAUU